rnacentral:rRNA from 1 species
AAUCAACGCUGGCGGCGUGCUUAACACAUGCAAGUCGAACGCGAAAGUGACUUCGGUCAUGAGUAGAGUGGCGUACGGGUGAGUAACGCGUGGAUAAUCUACCUUUGGGUGGGGAAUAACUAAUCGAAAGAUUAGCUAAUACCGCAUAAUGCAGCGGCUCGACAUCGAGACAGUUGUUAAAGCAGCAAUGCGCCUGAAGAGGAGUCCGCGUCUGAUUAGCUAGUUGGUAAGGUAAUGGCUUACCAAGGCUUCGAUCAGUAGCUGGUCUGAGAGGACGGCCAGCCACAAUGGCACUGAAACACGGGCCAUACUCCUACGGGAGGCAGCAGUGGGGAAUUUUGCGCAAUGGACGAAAGUCUGACGCAGCAACGCCGCGUGAAGGAUGAAAUCCCUCGGGAUGUAAACUUCGCAAAUAUAGGAAGAAUAAAUUGACGGUACUAUAUGUAAGCCCCGGCUAACUCCGUGCCAGCAGCCGCGGUAAUACGGGGGGGGCAAGCGUUGUUCGGAAUUACUGGGCGUAAAGCGCGUGUAGGCGGCUCUUCAAGUCAUGUGUGAAAUCUCCGGGCUUAACCUGGAAACUGCGCAUGAUACUGUCGAGCUCGAGUGUGGAAGAGGCAAUCGGAAUUCCGUGU